UACGGGGGGGGGCAAGCGUUUGUUCGGAAUUACUGGGCGUAAAGGGCUCGUAGGUGGCCAACUAAGUCAGACGUGAAAUCCCCUCGGCUUAACCGGGGAACUGCGUCUGAUACUGGAUGGCUUGAGUUUGGGAGAGGGACGCGGAAUUCCAGGUGUAGCGGUGAAAUGCGUAGAUAUCUGGAGGAACACCGGUGGCGAAGGCGGCGUCCUGGACCAACACUGACACUGAGGAGCGAAAGCCAGGGGGAGCAAACGGG
rnacentral:rRNA from 1 species